AGGCGGGGUUUACCGGUUGAUCUGAUUGUUUAUUGAAAUGUGUCAAAUAAUUAAAAAACAUUUCGGCGAUGAGAUCAGCCAGUCGAACUCAGUCGC